rnacentral:rRNA from 1 species
CCUACGGGAGGCAGCAGUGGGGGAUAUUGCACAAUGGGGGGAACCCUGAUGCAGCGACGCCGCGUGGGUGAAGAAGCGCCUCGGCGCGUAAAGCCCUGUCAGCAGGGAAGAAAAUGACGGUACCUGAAGAAGAAGCCCCGGCUAACUACGUGCCAGCAGCCGCGGUAAUACGUAGGGGGCAAGCGUUAUCCGGAUUUACUGGGUGGAAAGGGGGCGCAGACGGCGAUGCAAGCCAGGAGUGAAAGCCCGGGGCCCAACCCCGGGACUGCUCUUGGAACUGCGUGGCUGGAGUGCAGGAGGGGCAGGCGGAAGUCCUGGUGUAGCGGUGAAAUGCGUAGAUAUAAGGAGGAACACCGGUGGCGAAGGCGGCCUGCUGGACUGCAACUGACGUUGAGGCCCGAAAGCGUGGGGAGCAAACAGGAUUAGAUACCCCAGUAGUC